CAUCCGCCACCCAGGCUGUCACCUGGGCCCAAAUACUUGAUGAGCAUCUACUCCAUUCUAGGCACUGUGCUGAGUACUAGUGUCACCCAGCUUGCAAGCAGGGAAGUUGGCACGCAAGCUUCAGAUGCAGGCAGCUGGCUGUGGAGUGUGUGCUCUUAACCCUCCUG